rnacentral:misc_RNA from 1 species
GAAAAACAAAAAUUGAAGCAAACUUCAACUUCUUUACUUUUCUCUGUCACUCUUCGCUUCAUAAACUCUAUAGUUCGAUCGUCCAAUUUUCUCCGAUCAAACCUCGCUAUUUCUCUCUCUGCAAUUGUCGUCAUGGAUUUAGUCGACGGCAACUUCGAGCUCAGGGAGAUUCAGAAACUCCAAGGCCACAACGAUAGGGUUUGGAGCCUCGCCUGGAAUCUAGCUGCCGGAACUGGUGACAUCCGUCCGGUUUUCGCUUCUUGUAGUGGCGAUAAGACCGUUCGAAUCUGGGAGCAGAGCCCUUCCUCUAGCUCUUGGGACUGCAAGUCAGUUUUGGAAGAAACGCACACUAGAACUGUUCGAUCUUGUGCCUGGUCGCCAUCUGGGAAAUUAUUGGCCACUGCAAGCUUUGAUGCGACUACUGCCAUUUGGGAAAACAUUGGGGGUGAUUUUGAAUGUGUUUCUACUCUGGAGGGUCAUGAAAAUGAAGUCAAAAGUGUGGCCUGGAAUGCUUCUGGGUCUCUGCUUGCAACAUGCAGUCGAGAUAAAACUGUGUGGAUUUGGGAAGUAAUGCCAGGGAAUGAGUUUGAGUGUGCUUCAGUA